rnacentral:rRNA from 1 species
UACGAAGGGGGCUAGCGUUGCUCGGAAUCACUGGGCGUAAAGCGCACGUAGGCGGCUUUUUAAGUCAGGGGUGAAAUCCUGGAGCUCAACUCCAGAACUGCCUUUGAUACUGAGAAGCUUGAGUCCGGGAGAGGUGAGUGGAACUGCGAGUGUAGAGGUGAAAUUCGUAGAUAUUCGCAAGAACACCAGUGGCGAAGGCGGCUCACUGGCUCGUUUCUGACGCUCAGGCGCGACAGCGUGGGGAUCAAACAGG